rfam:Pan troglodytes isolate Yerkes chimp pedigree #C0471 (Clint) chromosome 4, whole genome shotgun sequence.
GUCUAUGACCAUACCCCUCUGAAUGUGCCCAGUCUCAUCUGAACUCAGAAGUUAAGGAGAGUCUGGCCUGGUUAUUACUUGGAUGGGAGACUGGGUGCUGUAGGCU